CUGGCGGCAGGCCUAACACAUGCAAGUCGAGCGGAUGAGAAGAGCUUGCUCUUCGAUUCAGCGGCGGACGGGUGAGUAAUGCCUAGGAAUCUGCCUGGUAGUGGGGGACAACGUUUCGAAAGGAACGCUAAUACCGCAUACGUCCUACGGGAGAAAGCAGGGGACCUUCGGGCCUUGCGCUAUCAGAUGAGCCUAGGUCGGAUUAGCUAGUUGGUGAGGUAAUGGCUCACCAAGGCGACGAUCCGUAACUGGUCUGAGAGGAUGAUCAGUCACACUGGAACUGAGACACGGUCCAGACUCCUACGGGAGGCAGCAGUGGGGAAUAUUGGACAAUGGGCGAAAGCCUGAUCCAGCCAUGCCGCGUGUGUGAAGAAGGUCUUCGGAUUGUAAAGCACUUUAAGUUGGGAGGAAGGGCAUUAACCUAAUACGUUAGUGUUUUGACGUUACCGACAGAAUAAGCACCGGCUAACUCUGUGCCAGCAGCCGCGGUAAUACAGAGGGUGCAAGCGUUAAUCGGAAUUACUGGGCGUAAAGCGCGCGUAGGUGGUUUGUUAAGUUGGAUGUGAAAGCCCCGGGCUCAACCUGGGAACUGCAUCCAAAACUGGCAAGCUAGAGUACGGUAGAGGGUGGUGGAAUUUCCUGUGUAGCGGUGAAAUGCGUAGAUAUAGGAAGGAACACCAGUGGCGAAGGCGACCACCUGGACUGAUACUGACACUGAGGUGCGAAA
rnacentral:rRNA from 1 species